ensembl:lncRNA
CUACCCUAAUCACUAACCGUAACCCAUACCCUAACCCUUACCUAACCCUAAACUUAACCCUUACCUUAACCAUUUUAAACGUCAUCUCAAAUGAGGUGACAUCAGAGUUGGGCGUCCCAAAGAUCCCAGAUAGCAAGGACCGAUUGGCCUUGCCAAAGAGGGCUGCACUGCUAGUGGUAUACACCUCCUUUUACCUUGCUGUCUCUCCCCCUCUUCAGUGGCUGGGUUCCUCAGUGACUGCAGGCUGUCUCUCCUCCUGUCUUCAGUGGCUGGGUUCCUCAGUGGCUGCAGGCUGUCUCUUCUCCUGUCUUCAGUGGCUGGGUCCCUCAGUGACUGCAGGCUGUCUCUCCCCCUCUUCAGUGGCUGGGUUCCUCAGUGACUGCAGGCUGUCUCUCCUCCUGUCUUCAGUGGCUGGGUUCCUCAGUGACUGCAGGCUGUCUCUCCACC